CUCGGAGGCCCCGCCCCGCGGGCUCCCCGCCCCUGGGCUCCUUGAGCACGUGGGCGCUGCCGGCUUGGGAGGUUCAUAGAGCGCCUUACAUAUGUUAACUCCUUUGAUCUUCACCACCAGCCCGGGAAGAGGGGCCAUGGGCUCCCCCAGCCUGCCCAAGCAUACAGUGACACAAAGUGAAGAGCCCAUUUCAGAAGGUGGCAUGAGAGCUGAACCUUGAAGGAGGCUAAGGAUUUCUCCAGAUAAGAAGAGUGCUUUGGGGACAUCUUUUUGCAAGGUAUAUGGAGUUGAUGCAUCGGUAUUUAUGGAAUACCUGUUACCUGUAAAACACCGUGCUGGGCAGGGGACAUGCCCAUUGUUAAUAACGGCACCCACCUUUGUUGUGCUUGAUGCUUAACCAGGUGCUGACCUCUCAAAACCCUUGGAAAUGAGCAGACCGAGAGCCCGAGAAGUCCAGUCAUUCUAUGAACAAGCAUUUGUUGGGAGGCGCCGGCUACUGUGCUCAAAGAGAGGCCCCAUUAGGCCCUGGCCUCAGGGAGCUCACAUUCUAAUGGGAGACAGCUAGGAAAGUAACGAGGCGCUUACUACAAGAGGGGCCUGGAAGAAGCUUCUUCACAAGAGGCCCUGAGGCAGCCCAUGAGGUGGCCCAGGCAGCCAUGUGUGACGACAUGUUGGAGGAGCAGCUUGGAGCCUUUGGGGAGAGAGGAGUAGAGGUUAAGGAGACUGGAAUCGAAGGAGCUUCAAUUGCUCAUCCUUUCACUAAUGGGGGCGCCUUGGACUUGCCUGGGCUAGUACGGGAGUCAGAUCCACCUUUGAAGGAUAUCAUUUCGCAGCGAAGGGGAGGAUAGAUUGGAAUGGAAUGGGGAAGAGAUGUGAGACAGGGAUACCAGUUAGAAGGGCACUGCAGUAGCCCUGGUGAUCAGGCCUAAACUAGGGCUGCCGGUGUGUGGAAACAAGGGCGUAUUGUUUGAAAGGUGGGAAGUUGGAAAAAAUGGUUAAGUGACUUGCCCAAAGUCUCAGAGGCGGUGAGGUGUUGAGCCAGGACUCAAACCCAGCUCUGAAUCCCAGUGCGCUGUCCACCACUGCACCAUUGUGUGAAGGAAUCCACCAAGCUGGCAUUCUGUUGUUGACUAUUCGUUUGUUGAUUUAUUGAUUAGCAUCCAUUUGGAGGGAGACUUUUUCUGGCACCCCCAGCCAGAUUCUGUGUGGUGCACUCUAUUUGAAACCUGCAUUUCCCAGUGAAUUUUGUGUAAUUCAGACACUACGGCCAGUAGCAGAUUGUACAUAGUCAUGGGCACUGGCUGAGUCUUAGGAAACAGAAGGGAGAAAGUAGUGUGGCAAAAAAAUGGAAUUUGGCAGACUGAUUGGGAUGGGCCACACCUGGCAUGUCCUGAGUGACGGAUGCUGCUGAUGUCAGCAGGAGAAACCACUCUCCACAAGCAGUUUGAAGGACCUCCCCUUUUAGGGGAGGGAGAGUAAACGUGCUAAGGCUCUUUCCAGUAGCUGAGCUGUGGGAGCAGAUGAGAGAGAGGUUUUUCCUGGCAGUUUGUCCUGUGGGCCCUGGCUGCAUGGCUGUUUCCCAUUGAAGCUAUAGACCCCAGGUGGUGAGUUAACAAAUGAGUCUUGCUCUUUAAAAUUAACUGAGCUGGAAGCGAGUUUGGGGAUUAUCCAUUUUUCUUUUUCCUAUUCCCUUCUCUUUGACUUUAUUAAUUUCAACUUUGCUGUUUAUUUUAUUCCCAUUAAUAAA